AGCUACCAGGGGCGUAGCAUAUGCUUGUCUCAAAGAUUAAGCCAUGCAAGUCUCAGUGCACAUGGACGCUACAGUGAAACUGCGAAUGGCUCAUUAAAUCAGUUAUGGUUCCUUUGAUCGCUCCACCAUUACUUGGAUAACUGUGGUAAUUUUACAGCUAAUACAUGCUGACCUUCCAGGGAUGCGUGCAUUUAUCAGACCAAAACCAAUCCGGGUCUCAGCCCGGCAGCUUUGGUGACUCUAGAUAAACUC